UAGCUCAAAAGCCCUAAACCUCUCGAGUCAUCUUACUAUACUUCACUUCAGCAGCAACACCCAAUUGCCUCAGUGCCGAUUGCUAUCGACCACCGCCAACAGUGUUUCCGUUGUUAUUACUACCAGUCAUCACAACCUCGUUUCCCAUUUGUGUCUUUGGCUCCUAGGUUUAACCUAUACAUCUGGUCAGUGUUUUGAUUGAUUACCAGGAGUGAAUCAGCGUUUUGAGGGGUGAAGUUUUUAAUUUAUUGUGGGGAAAAGCCAGAGAAAAUGCCACUCGGGCUAAUAAUGGGGCUAGGAAGGGCAUUUCGUCGAAAGCGAACGGCAUCCCUUGACAUUCUUUCCCCAAAACGAGCCCCAAGGAAUUUUUACAAGGGGAAGAACUGCAAGCCCACUGGUUUCCACACCCGAAAAGGGGGAUAUGUUGUGGUGCAGGACAAACUACCCAACUAUGUAGUCCCCGAUUUAACUGACUUCAAGCUCAAACCAUAUGUGUCUCAGUGCCCCAAAGAGGUCAAGACUGCAGAGUCAGCUGAAUCAACUAAAUAAGCAAAUGAGUGGGUACAAGACUAGUGGGUCUGUUCAAUGUAGACGUUCUUGCUUGGAGAAAAUCCCUGAUGGUCAGAUAGUAGCACAAUGUUUGUUCUGGAUGUCCAAAAAACUUCAGGACUGCUAUGGUUCGCUAUCCCCUUCCGGUCUUGCUUGAAGCCAUAGUACUGCGUUUGUUUUGAUAAAGUACAAAUUUGAGGAGAGGAAUAUCAAAAAAGAAAGCCUAUUGGAUAUGAGAUGGUCAACUUUUCGGCUUUCCUAGGUUCCGGAAAUGGUGGUUUGGCAUUGCAUAUGAGAUUCUGUUUUCAUGUCAGGCACUUAGUCUUGAAAUCAGUAUAUCGGCUGAAGAUGUAGAUUCACACUAUGAAAUAGGCAAAUUGCUAAAUGAUAUGUGUGCACAAUUCUCCUGACUGACUAACUGAAUACGGUGGCCUCAAAACCACCCAGUUUUGAGAGAUGAAAUCUUAUAGAAAGAGAGUGGUGUAUUGGCUCAGU